CCCUUAGAUGUUCUGGGCCGCACGCGCGCUACACUGAUGCAUUCAACGAGCCUAUCCUUGACCGACAGGUCCGGGUAAUCUUUGAAUCUGCAUCGUGACGGGGAUAGAUUAUUGCAAUUAUUAAUCUUCAACGAGGAAUGCCUAGUAGGCGCAAGUCAUCAGCUUGCGUCGAUUACGUCCCUGCCCUUUGUACACACCGCCCGUCGCUCCUACCGAUUGAACGUUUUAGUGAGGCAUUUGGACCGACGCAUCUCAGUUUAACCGCUGGUUUGUGUUGGAAAGACUUCCAAACUUGAGCGUUUAGAGGAAGUAAAAGUCGUAACA
rnacentral:rRNA from 1 species